rnacentral:lncRNA from 1 species
AGUUAAGACACGAUCAGUGUGCUGUCAUAGAAUUUAGAAUCAUAUUUUCAUCUGACCUUCCAGAUCUGUGUCCCUGACCCCCUGCUGUCUUCUCAGUUUCUUCCCCACAGGAAGGAAAAUAAUCCUAUAGAUAAACAAGUUCUGGAGUAGAUUCUAUUUCGUGAAGCCUUUAGAGAUGGCAUAAUUUGUUUAUGUACAUAUGGAAGACUAUUUGAAAAGCAGGAAGAAUAGCAGGAACAUUUGUAUGUGAGUGAUUUACCAUAUUGCUGAGAAAUACCAUGGAGUGCCAGUAUUACUUGAAUGUUACAUUCCCUGGAAUGCUACGUUCCGCCCUCUGAUCUCUUCCAUAUUCUCCAUUGACCAAACCCAACCAGGAGUCAGAAGGUGUCUGGGGUGGAGUGAGGACAAGAGGUGAAAGUGAAGGAGGCCUCCAGCAGCUAGAAAGAGCAUCGUCUUGGAUUCCAGAGCCCAGGGGAGGAAGGCACAUUGUCAGCCCUGCUGAAGGGCACUUGGAUGGCAGUGAUAGUGAAGAGAAGCCCCCCUUCCUGUGUGCUGCUGCUGCUUGACAUUAAAUAUCUGUACCACUACCUGGUUUGUUUGUUGGCUGGUGUU